rnacentral:rRNA from 1 species
UACGGGGGGGGCAAGCGUUGUUCGGAAUUACUGGGCGUAAAGCGCGCGUAGGCGGCCCUUCAAGUCGGGCGUGAAAGCUCCGGGCUUAACCCGGAAAUUGCGUUCGAUACUGUCGGGCUAGAGUGUGGAAGGGGCUACCGGAAUUCCGUGUGUAGCGGUGAAAUGCGUAGAUAUACGGAGGAACACCAGCGGCGAAGGCGGGUAGCUGGGCCAACACUGACGCCGAGGCGCGAAAGCUAGGGUAGCAAACGGG